rnacentral:rRNA from 1 species
CUCCGGUGAUCCCUGCCGGACCUGACUGCUAUCGGAUUGGUACUAAGCCAUGCGAGUCGUUGUAGCAAUACAAGGCGGACGGCUCAGUAACACGUAGUCAACCUAACCUAUGGACGUGGAUAACCUCGGGAAACUGAGAAUAAACCGCGAUAGAUCAUUAUGCCUGGAAUGGCUUAUGGUUCAAACAAUUUAUUGCCGUAGGAUGGGACUGCGGCCUAUCAGCUUGUUGGUGAGGUAAUGGCCCACCAAGGCUAUAACAGGUACGGGCUCUGAGAGGAGAAGCCCGGAGAUGGGUACUGAGACACGGACCCAGGCCCUAUGGGGCGCAGCAGGCGAGAAACCUUAGCAAUGUGCGAAAGCACGACUAGGUUAAUCCGAGUGAUUUCUGUUGAAGAAAUCUUUUGUCAGUCGUAAAACCACAGACGAAUAAGGGGUGGGCAAGUCUGGUGUCAGCCGCCGCGGUAAUACCAGCACCUCGAGUGGUCAGGAGGUUUAUUGGGCCUAAAGCAUCCGUAGCCGGCUACGCAAGUCUCCGGUUAAAUCCAGCUGCUCAACAGAUGGGCUGCCGGAGAUACUACAUAGCUAGGGAGCGGGAGAGGUAGACGGUAUUCUGUGGGUAGGGGUAAAAUCCACUGAUCCAUAGAGGACCACCAGUGGCGAAGGCGGUCUACCAGAACGCGUUCGACGGUGAGGGAUGAAAGCUGGGGGAGCAAACCGGAUUAGAUACCCAGGUAGUCCCAGCCGUAAACGAUGCAGACUCGGUGAUGGGUUGGCUUCGCGCUAACCCAGUGCCGCAGGGAAGCCGUUAAGUCUGCCGCCUGGGUAGUACGGUCGCAAGACUGAAACUUAAAGGAAUUGGCGGGGGAGCA